rnacentral:rRNA from 1 species
AUUGAACGCUGGCGGCAUGCCUUACACAUGCAAGUCGAACGGCAGCAUGGAGAGCUUGCUCUCUGAUGGCGAGUGGCGAACGGGUGAGUAAUGCAUCGGAACGUACCGUGUAAUGGGGGAUAACGUAGCGAAAGUUACGCUAAUACCGCAUACGACCUGAGGGUGAAAGCAGGGGAUCGCAAGACCUUGCGUUAUACGAGCGGCCGAUGUCAGAGUAGCUAGUUGGUGAGGUAAAGGCUCACCAAGGCGACGAUCUGUAGCGGGUCUGGAGAGGAUGAUCCGCCACACUGGGACUGAGACACGGCCCAGACUCCUACGGGAGGCAGCAGUGGGGAAUUUUGGACAAUGGGGGCAACCCUGAUCCAGCCAUGCCGCGUGAGUGAAGAAGGCCUUCGGGUUGUAAAGCUCUUUCGGCCGGGAAGAAAUCGCACAGGCUAAUACUCUGUGUGGAUGACGGUACCGGCAUAAGAAGCACCGGCUAACUACGUGCCAGCCGCCGCGGUAA